CUAGCUAUUAAUCUUGAGUCCUCAGAUGCACCUAUGAGGGGACAUGUAGGAGAAAUUGCCACUGCCAGAGAUGAGAAAUUGGGGCAAGAAUCAUUGCUGGCAGAAUUUUCAGGAAGAAGAAUGAAAAUAAUCCUGUAAUUUCUUAUGACUUGUCUGAUCCAUCACUGGUGGCUCAGAUGCUUGAAGGAAUGAAAGAGCUAAUGGCUUUCAAAGAAGAGCAAAUCCAAAAGGCAAAUCCUAGAGGCAGAAAAAGAAAUCAGCCAACUAAAGUGUAGGUUUAUGAUGUUGGAGUCAAGGUCAAAUACUUCCCUGGUGCAUGUGGA